AGAAGAAUCGAUAUGGAGAGCGGGGAAGUGAAGUGCAGCACAUUUGUUAAACAUUGCUGGAACCAAAAGCAUAACUGGACUCAUAAACUGGUUUCAGCAAUUGAAGUAUAUUGGAUUUGGUGAUGUGCCCUAUUUUAGCCUGCUUCUUGUAAGUGCAGUCUGUCUAUAUACAUAUUCUAGCGAAUUACAAUACUGCACUAUUUGGGUUUUUGAUUAUAUGAGAUGAAUCUAUCCUGGGUGAAAUGUUGGUGUUUAUAUACCUGUUUGUUAUAGGAGAAAGGUAAUUUUAAGUGCUAUUGUUAUCCAUUACGGAUUGGGAGUCACAGCUAUAUUACUCUGUAUGCUGUUUAUGUUGUUUACAGCCACUCUUUAUGAAUUUC